rnacentral:rRNA from 1 species
UACAGAGGGUGCGAGCGUUGUCCGGAAUCACUGGGCGUAAAGGGCGCGUAGGUGGUGGCUUAAGCCGUGCGGUGAAAGCUCGGGGCUCAACCCCGAGUCGGCCGUGCGAACUGGGCUCACUGGAGCAUAGUAGAGGCAGGUGGAAUUCCGGGUGUAGCGGUGGAAUGCGUAGAGAUCCGGAAGAACACCGGUGGCGAAGGCGGCCUGCUGGGCUAUGGGCUGACACUGAGGCCGCGACAGCGUGGGGAGCAAACAGGG